rnacentral:rRNA from 1 species
GAUGAACGCCGGCGGUGUGCCUAAUACAUGCAAGUCGAGCGCACUGGCCAACUGAUAUGACGUGCUUGCACUGAUUUGACGAUGGAUUACCAGUGAGCGGCGGACGGGUGAGUAACACGUGGGCAACCUGCCCUAAAGCGGGGGAUAACAUUUGGAAACAGGUGCUAAUACCGCAUAACUACGAAAACCACAUGGUUUUCGUAUCAAAGAUGGUUUCGGCUAUCACUUUAGGAUGGGCCCGCGGUGCAUUAGCUAGUUGGUAGGGUAACGGCCUACCAAGGCAAUGAUGCAUAGCCGAGUUGAGAGACUGAUCGGCCACAAUGGAACUGAGACACGGUCCAUACUCCUACGGGAGGCAGCAGUAGGGAAUCUUCCACAAUGGGCGCAAGCCUGAUGGAGCAACACCGCGUGAGUGAAGAAGGGCUUCGGCUCGUAAAACUCUGUUGUUGAAGAAGAACGUGCAUGAGAGUAACUGUUCAUGCAGUGACGGUAUUCAACCAGAAAGUCACGGCUAACUACGUGCCAGCAGCCGCGGUAAUACGUAGGUGGCAAGCGUUAUCCGGAUUUAUUGGGCGUAAAGCGAGCGCAGGCGGUUGCUUAGGUCUGAUGUGAAAGCCUUCGGCUUAACCGAAGAAGUGCAUCGGAAACCGGGCGACUUGAGUGCAGAAGAGGACAGUGGAACUCCAUGUGUAGCGGUGGAAUGCGUAGAUAUAU